GAUUCCCGGUUUCGGAAAUCGCGUUUAAGUACCCCUAUAUAUGGUGUGGACUGCAGUACGAAGGAGAUUCUGAUUCAGAAAAACUAUUCUCUCUUCGGUUUAGUGAAGCAAGGAAUUCAAAGAUGAAAUUCUUAAAUUUGAAGUUCUUGUUCGUCUUGUUUUUGGCUCUCUUAACAGUAACUGCCACAGUAGGUUACAAACGUGGCGGCGGUGGACACGGCGGCUACAGAGGAGGAUAUGGUGGAGGAGGUCAUGGUGGUUAUAAAGGUGGACAUGGUGGUUAUAGAGGAGGUUACCACGGUGGUUACAAAGGAGGACGUGGCGGAUACAGAGGCGGAUACCACAAAGGAUAAUAUUCUUGCUGCGAUAUUGGGGUAAAGGCCAGCAUUUCAGAAAUCAUGUCCAUUCAGAAGAUUUUGAACGGAAAGAAUCUCUCAUUGUAUCAUUGGAUUAAAUUAAUUAUAAAUAAAUAUUUUUUAUUUUA